rnacentral:rRNA from 1 species
CGCGUCCCGGGGCCCCCCU